GACGAACGCUGGCGGCGUGCUUAACACAUGCAAGUCGAACGGAAAGGCCCUGCUUUUGUGGGGUGCUCGAGUGGCGAACGGGUGAGUAACACGUGAGUAACCUGCCCUUGACUUUGGGAUAACUUCAGGAAACUGGGGCUAAUACCGGAUAGGAGCUCCUGCUGCAUGGUGGGGGUUGGAAAGUUUCGGCGUUUGGGGAUGGACUCGCGGCUUAUCAGCUUGUUGGUGGGGUAGUGGCUUACCAAGGCUUUGACGGGUAGCCGGCCUGAGAGGGUGACCGGCCACAUGGGGACUGAGAGACGGCCCAGACUCCUACGGGAGGCAGCAGUGGGGAAUAUUGCACAAUGGGCGGAAGCCUGAUGCAGCAACGCCGCGUGCGGGAUGACGGCCUUCGGGUUGUAAACCGCUUUCGCCUGUGACGAAGCGUGAGUGACGGUAAUGGGUAAAGAAGCACCGGCUAACUACGUG
rnacentral:rRNA from 1 species